rnacentral:rRNA from 1 species
CAGCAGCCGCGGGAAUACGUAGGGUGCAAGCGUUAAUCGGAAUUACUGGGCGUAAAGCGUGCGCAGGCGGUUUGUUAAGACAGGUGUGAAAUCCCCGGGCUUAACCUGGGAACUGCGCUUGUGACUGCACAGCUAGAGUAUGGCAGAGGGGGGUGGAAUUCCACGUGUAGCAGUGAAAAGCGUAGAGAUGUGGAGGAAUACCGAUGGCGAAGGCAGCCCCCUGGGCCAAUACUGACGCUCAUGCACGAAAGCGUGGGGAGCAAACAGGAUUAGAUACCCCUGUAGUCCCUGUCUCUUAUAA